AACUUCUGCACUAGUAAUAAGUGGUCAGUCCCUCCUUUAAACGUAGUCUGGAUAUUUGGUAAGCACAGGAACGGAUAAUCCCGUUCCAAGGGGCGGCGGCUCGGCUCCCGCCCGCAUCCGCGAGCGGGGCUCGGGGCGCGGGGGACGCGGGCUGCACCCGGGCGGCGGGGGCGCUGCGCCACCUCGAGGCCGGACCCUGCCGCCCGGGUCCUGGGUCCUGGUGCUGUCCCCCGGAGCGGACAGCGAGGCCGAGGCCCGCGGGAAGGCAGCCGGGCGCGCAGGGGCCGGGCGGCCGGCCUGCAGGCUGGCAGGGACGCGCUGGGGACCUGCGUGGGGAGCUAAGGGCCCAGCCCAAAGCAUAGUCAUCAUUUUUCUGGGCAAAUUAUCAAGACCAGCCUGUGUAUUUCAGCACCAGCCAGGAGCUGGAGGUAGGAGGUGAGUGGCUUGUACAUCAUCCCCAAAUUGACAUUUUCCACAGAUGAGCUCCAGUUAGCUGGUUAAAUUCUGCCAAGUUAUCAUUCUCACUUUUAAUGACUUCUUUAAUAAGACUUCUAAAGGGACCACCACGUAGAUGCUUCAAAAUGUGUUGCACAAUGCAAUGGGAAAGCCUUCUGCACCCUGAUAUGGAGAGAUCUGUAGAAUAGUUUAAGUGAGAAAG
rnacentral:lncRNA from 1 species